GAUGAACGCUGACAGAAUGCUUAACACAUGCAAGUCAACUUGAACUUCGGUUUGGGUGGCGGACGGGUGAGUAACGCGUAAAGAACUUGCCUCACAGCUAGGGACAACAUUUGGAAACGAAUGCUAAUACCUGAUAUUAUGAUUUUAGGGCAUCCUAGAAUUAUGAAAGCUAUAUGCGCUGUGAGAGAGCUUUGCGUCCCAUUAGCUAGUUGGAGAGGUAACGGCUCACCAAGGCGAUGAUGGGUAGCCGGCCUGAGAGGGUGAUCGGCCACAAGGGGACUGAGACACGGCCCUUACUCCUACGGGAGGCAGCAGUGGGGAAUAUUGGACAAUGGACCAAGAGUCUGAUCCAGCAAUUCUGUGUGCACGAUGAAGUUUUUCGGAAUGUAAAGUGCUUUCAGUUGGGAAGAAAAAAAUGACGGUACCAACAGAAGAAGUGACGGCUAAAUACGUGCCAGCAGCCGCGGUAAUACGUAUGUCACAAGCGUUAUCCGGAUUUAUUGGGCGUAAAGCGCGUCUAGGUGGUUAUAUAAGUCUGAUGUGAAAAUGCAGGGCUCAACUCUGUAUUGCGUUGGAAACUGUGUAACUAGAGUACUGGAGAGGUAAGCGGAACUACAAGUGUAGAGGUGAAAUUCGUAGAUAUUUGUAGGAAUGCCGAUGGGGAAGCCAGCUUACUGGACAGAUACUGACGCUGAAGCGCGAAAGCGUGAGUAGCAAACAGG
rnacentral:rRNA from 1 species